CUCCCGGCAAGUGUCGCGAUUGCAUAUAUUAUAUUUUCGUUCGAUUGUUCUUUUGAGGUGGUUCUUUUUUAUUCUACCGUCUACUAGGUCUUAAAAUCUACUUAGCCCGGUAGGUCAUCGCUUGGUACAAAUCGGCGGGCAAACUUGUUGGGUGUGUAUAGCGGCGAAUCACAACUGCGAAAUAUUAAACGUUAUAAUAUUAUUAAUAUUAUGCAAUUGGACACCGCGCGCGCGGAAUGUCAUCCGAUGUUGUCUUUAUCCGGUUAGUUUUUAUUUUUGGUAGACACUCGACUCAUCCUGUUUCGUCGUAAAAUUUCAGCAUCGUCGCAGAUCGUAUUAUACAUAAUAUUAUGCCUGAUAAACCGCGCGAUUUCAUUAAACGUUGUAUAACGACCGCUUACAAUAUUAUCCAUAUAUAAUACACGUAUGUUUGAAUAUUAUUGCGUACCCUAAUAAGUUAUAUUAUUCUCUUGUCAAACUUUCUCAUAAGCAUCGCGUCUCUUAUACUUCCCGAUU